rnacentral:rRNA from 1 species
GUAGGUGGCAAGCGUUGUCCGGAAUUAUUGGGCGUAAAGCGCGCGCAGGCGGUUCUUUAAGUCUGAUGUGAAAGCCCACGGCUCAACCGUGGAGGGUCAUUGGAAACUGGAGAACUUGAGUACAGAAGAGGAAAGCGGAAUUCCACGUGUAGCGGUGAAAUGCGUAGAGAUGUGGAAGAACACCAGUGGCGAAGGCGGCUUUCUGGUCUGUAACUGACGCUGAGGCGCGAAAGCGUGGGGAGCAAACAGGAUUAGAUACCCUGGUAGUCCACGCCGUAAACGAUGAGUGCUAAGUGUUAGGGGGUUUCCGCCCCCCUUAGUGCUGCAGCUAACGCAUUAAGCACUCCGCCUGGGAGUACGGCCGCAAGGCUG